rnacentral:rRNA from 1 species
GCUCAUUAUAUCAGUUAUAGUUUAUUUGAUGAAGAAUACUAAUUGGAUAACCGUAGUAAUUCUAGAGCUAAUACAUGUAUAAAGUCUUGUAGACUGCAUUUAUUAGAAUGAAAACCAUAGGUUUCGGCCUAUUCGUGAGUAAUAAUAACUAAUCAUAUCGUAUGCUUAUGUAACGAUGUGUCUUUCAAGUUUCUGCCCUAUCAGCUUUCGAUGGUAGUGUAUUGGACUACCAUGGCAGUAACGGGUAACGAAGAAUUUGGGUUCGAUUUCGGAGAGGGAGCCUGAGAGAUGGCUACCACAUCCAAGGAAGGCAGCAGGCGCGUAAAUUACCCCAAUCCUGACACAGGGAGGUAGUGACAAUAAAUCACAAUGCGGAACAAUGUUUUGCAAUUGGAUUGAGAACAACGUACAAACCUUAUCGAUAAACAAUUGGAGGGCAAGUCUGGUGCCAGCAGCCGCGGUAAUUCCAGCUCCAAUAGCGUAUAUUAACGUUGUU